AUGGAAAAUUGGAGAUUGUUAUGCUUUGUUCUUCUCUUCACAUCAAUUUUGAUCUGCCAUGAUGCUCGUCCUCUUCCUUCUUCAUCUCUUUCAAGUAGUAAUGGAAACCAUGCAUUUGUUGAGAGUGUUAAGAAAGUGAUGAAAGAAAUCACGAGAAGAAAGCAAUUGUUGGAGACACAAUAUUCGACUAAUCGUCUUAGUCCAAGUGGUCCCGAUCCUCAUCAUCACUAA